rnacentral:tRNA from 1 species
AAGGUACUAGUAAAAUCAUUACAUAACUUUGUCAAAGUUAAAUUACAGAAGUAUACUUCUGUGUAUCUUA